GAGUCAUGACAAAACCCAUCGGCAGGGCACCUUUCCACCCCCGUAAAAGGCACAGGGCUCAGUUAUCAGUAAGGCGAGCCGACACUCCUGUCCGGGCCGCUCGUCACAGGCUGCUGUUUUUCGGGGAUCCGCUUCCCUGAGAUGCCAUGGGCCAGGAAAGGGAGGCGGUCCGAUGGCACCGGCAGCUGGCAGAGGGGAUGGAGGGCUUCUGUCGGACGUAUGACUCGAGGUAUGCUGAGGACCUACUGUAUUACACAGUCACGUGGCGGCCUUGUCGUCAGGGGAUUGGCUGUUGCUAAGAGACCAGAGAAGGAGCCGGACCAUUUCCAAUGAUGAAUUAACUCAAGAAG